rnacentral:rRNA from 1 species
CCAAAGGGCUAUUGCGUUACAACGGCGAGUGAAGCGGCAAAAGCUCAAAUUUGAAAUCUGGCACCUUCGGUGUCCGAGUUGUAAUUUGAAGAAGGUAACUUUGGAGUUGGCUCUUGUCUAUGUUCCUUGGAACAGGACGUCACAGAGGGUGAGAAUCCCGUGCGAUGAGAUGCCCAAUUCUAUGUAAAGUGCUUUCGAAGAGUCGAGUUGUUUGGGAAUGCAGCUCUAAGUGGGUGGUAAAUUCCAUCUAAAGCUAAAUAUUGGCGAGAGACCGAUAGCGAACAAGUACAGUGAUGGAAAGAUGAAAAGAACUUUGAAAAGAGAGUGAAAAAGUACGUGAAAUUGUUGAAAGGGAAGGGCUUGAGAUCAGACUUGGUAUUUUGCGAUCCUUUCCUUCUUGGUUGGGUUCCUCGCAGCUUACUGGGCCAGCAUCGGUUUGGAUGGUAGGAUAAUGACUAAGGAAUGUGGCUCUACUUCGGUGGAGUGUUAUAGCCUUGGUUGAUACUGCCUGUCUAGACCGAGGACUGCGUCUUUUGACUAGGAUGUUGGCAUAAUGAUCUUAAGCCACCCGUCUUGAAACACAGGACCAACAANAA